rnacentral:rRNA from 1 species
CAUCAGCCACGGUAAUACGUAGGUGGCAAGCGUUGUCCGGAAUUAUUGGGCGUAAAGGGCUCGCAGGCGGUUUCUUAAGUCUGAUGUGAAAGCCCCGGCUCAACCGGGGAGGGUCAUUGGAAACUGGGAAACUUGAGUGCAGAAGAGGAGAGUGGAAUUCCACGUGUAGCGGUGAAAUGCGUAGAGAUGUGGAGGAACACCAGUGGCGAAGGCGACUCUCUGGUCUGUAACUGACGCUGAGGAGCGAAAGCGUGGGGAGCGAACAGGAUUAGAUACCCCCGUAGUCCCUGUCUCUUAUACA